rnacentral:rRNA from 1 species
CCUACGGGAGGCAGCAGUGAGGAAUAUUGGUCAAUGGGCGGGAGCCUGAACCAGCCAAGCCGCGUGAGGGAAGAAGGUACAGCGUAUCGUAAACCUCUUUUGUCAGGGAACAAAGGCGGGGACUAGUCCCCGGAUGAGGGUACCUGAAGAAAAAGCAUCGGCUAACUCCGUGCCAGCAGCCGCGGUAAUACGGAGGAUGCGAGCGUUAUCCGGAUUUAUUGGGUUUAAAGGGUGCGCAGGCGGCCUGUUAAGUCAGCGGUCAAAGCCCGGGGCUCAACCCCGGCGAGCCGUUGAAACUGGCGGGCUGGAGUUGGAGAGAAGUACGCGGAAUGUGCGGUGUAGCGGUGAAAUGCUUAGAUAUCGCGCAGAACCCCGAUUGCGAAGGCAGCAUGCCGGCUCCACACUGACGCUGAGGCACGAAAGCGUGGGUAUCGAACAGGAUUAGAUACCCCUGUAGUC